rnacentral:lncRNA from 1 species
CAUAGGCUCUUUUUGCCUGCCGCCAUCCACGUAAGGUAUGAUUUGCCCCUCCUUGCCUUCUGCCAUGAUUGUGAGGCCUCCCCAGCCACGUGAAACUCAUGAGGCGACUCAGAAGGAGCAUGAGCAGAGAUGACCCUAAUAGGUGGUGCCAACACAGUUUCCCUGAGAAGUUGAAAUCGAGGACUGGUGCCCACUGAGGAGGUCUGAGGAGAGGAGGACUCAGAGCAGCCAGAAGGAGAGUGCAUGAGAUUAUAUAAAGACUCAGAGAAGAGAUACAGCUCCUCCCGCACCAGAGAAAUGCAGCUCCGUGAGCCCCGAUGGAGCCAGCAUGCUGCUGGGUGCUGAGGAGCAGGCAGAGGCACCCAGGAUGGCGGUCCCCAAGGAGAACGGAGGCACAGAACAACGCAUGAGGGGCCACAUGACUUAGGGCCGGGAUCGGUCACUCAGCCAGCAAAAACACUGGAAGAAAACAAAACAACUUCAGACUCUAUGCUGCAUUUCCGUAAUAUAUCUGCCCAAAGACUGGACAACAAAGGUAAAGGAGGCUGAUGAGGAAACGAAAGGAUCCGUGGUUCUUGGCUCGCUGGGUGGCUCAUCAACAAAGCCCCAGCAUCACUCCUGCAGAUGCCCUAGCCUGGCCUGGGCUGGGAUGGGCAAAAUUCACCAUGGGACUCUUGUUCAAGAGAGGGAGAUCAAAGCCAGAAACACUUACCCAGAAUGGCCAUGCAGACUAAAAUUCCAAUUCUAAAAAUACUUUUAAAAUGUAACGUACAACAAAGGAAAGCUGGAAAAAUAUUUAAAAAAGGAUGAAAGGGCAAGAAAAAUUCAACCCACGACCUCAAGGCGAUUAUAAUCUGUGUUCUGCUGCUUCCCAGAGCCGCUUCAGUCUUCAGCUCAGAGUCUACCAGACACUAAAAUGCAACUGAACACUCAGUUCAUACUUGUUCUUCUAAUUAGCUGCCUCUUCCAUUUGAUUAAUAUUGCCUCCUAAUUUAAUUGUAAAUUGUAUUUCUGGUUUAUAUUUCGCUUCUCCCUCCUGUUGUACCUGGUGACCAUCUUCAUUAAUCAUAUUGUAGCUUUUUAAUGAAUCUCAUAUGCCAAUUUAUGGUGAACAAGACUUGAUAUGAAGGCAUCUUCAUCAAAUCAUUCAUAAUCUUGUAACUAUUGGUUUAUUUUCUGUAACGACCUAUAAAUGUACACCAAAAAAAUGAAAGAUUCCCCCUAAAAUGUAAUGGGACAGAACUUUGUUUACGUAGAUUUCUGAGGAUGGGUUGAGACGCCAAAUUCCGCUUGUGUUUGGAAUUUCUAUUUCACUGGGCUUAGUGAGGGUGCCCAUGUUUUGCAAUCCUGUGCUCUAGAAUCUAUCAUAAACAGAUUCUUCUAAUUGUUUGACAUUAAACUGCAAAUUUGUG